GGAAGGUAGGACAUAGUGGUAUGUAACAGGUCUUGAAAACCUGCCCGCUGUAGCGAUAUGGUGAUGGUUCGACUCCAUUACCUUCCUCCA
rnacentral:tRNA from 13 species